rnacentral:rRNA from 1 species
AGAGUUUGAUCCUGGCUCAGAACGAACGCUGGCGGCGCGCUUAACACAUGCAAGUCGAACGAGAAGCUGUAGCAAUACAGUUGUAAAGUGGCAAACGGGUGAGUAAUGCGUGGGUAAUCUACCCUAGGGUGGGGAAUAACUCCUCGAAAGGGGAGCUAAUGCCGACAUGUGCGCCACUCUCGCAAGGGAGUGAUGGAAAGCCGUACCGUGGGUGCGGCGCCCAAGGAUGAGCUCACGUCCUAUCAGCUUGUUGGCGGGGUAACGGCCCACCAAGGCUCCGACGGGUAGCUGGUCUGAGAGGACGACCAGCCACACUGGCACUGCGACACGGGCCAGACUCCUACGGGAGGCAGCAGUGAGGAAUAUUGCGCAAUGGACGACAGUCUGACGCAGCGACGCCGCGUGGGGGAUGAAGGCCUUCGGGUUGUAAACCCCUUUCAGGAGGGAAGAUGGGACGGGUAACCGUUCGGACGGUACCUCCAGAAGAAGCCCCGGCUAACUACGUGCCAGCAGCCGCGGUAAUACGUAGGGGGCAAGCGUUGUCCGGAUUUAUUGGGCGUAAAGAGCGUGUAGGCGGUUAGGUAGGUCCGUUGUGAAAACUCGAGGCUCAACCUCGAGACGCCGAUGGAAACCCCCUAACUAGAGUCCGGAAGAGGAGAGUGGAAUUCCUGGUGUAGCGGUGAAAUGCGCAGAUAUCAGGAAGAACACCCGUGGCUAAGGCGGCUCUCUAGUACGGUACUGACGCUGAGACGCGAAAGCGUGGGGAGCGAACAGGAUUAGAUACCCUGGUAGUCC